rnacentral:lncRNA from 1 species
CCGCAGCCUUCUCUUUCUAGUAGCCACUUUCCUGGGAGAAGUAUACCCAAAAAGUCAGUCUUGGUGGUCAACAAAUGUUUCCUCUGCAUCCUAGAAUCUUAGUGGCCUGGUUACCAUGUUCCAGUUCCCCUCUUCUUCCCUGGCAGAGAUGUGGAAGCCCAAAGCAGCCUGGGGAAAGGGAAGGGGGGAAGGAAAAGCCCAGAUCCUGCCAUCAAGGGCAGGCCGCCCCGGAAUGGAGGCACCUCCGAGCGUGGCAGCCGGACGUCGGGAUCCGGGGCGAAGAAAGCCGGGGCUCUGGCUGAUGUGUGAUGAUUUUCUGCGGCAUUGCUUGCUGCCCGAAAGAACUAACGAAUGAAGCGGUUUCUUUUGGGAAUAAUACCCUCUUGACGCGAAGCUACAGCCAAAGUCCCAGGCCCUUCAGGGGGGCCAAGGUUUCCACUGGCGGCGGGGUCCCCAUCCCUAGGCGCAGCGAGGAGCAGCGGGCGGCCCUCUCGCUGAUCCCUUCCUCGCCGAGGCCCCCUGCGUCUGGCGCCGCCACGAGAGGCUAAGGGCUUCCCGGGCUUCGCCUUCGCAGAGCCGAAGCCCGAGUCCCCGAGGCUGCUGCCCUUUUGGGGUGGCUGGGGCCGAGGCGCUGGGUAGGCACGCAGGUUAGGUGAGGUAGUACCAGUGACGGCACGCCCGGGGCGCAGGAACGAGCUCCUCGCGCUGCCUCGAUGGCGCCCGACCUUCCGCGCAUUGCGCUCCGUCCCGCGCUGCUGGCCGGACCCCACAAACGCCAGGAGCAAACGGUGCAGACUUAGCCGCCACCUCCCUGCGCCCCUUCACCGCGGAGACCCCGCGCCUCUAGCUGAGACUCUUACCCCACCUGGACAGCACUGCGUCUGCGACUCGUCGGGUCCGGGCUCGCCCGCCGCGGACUGUGCCUCACGUUUCAGCUCAGGCUGGGGCCCCUGAUCCAACUUGGCUUCAGGCUGUGCGCGCUGCUACGGUCCCUGCCGGUUCGCUACAUCGCAGCACGAAG